UACGAAGGGGGCUAGCGUUGCUCGGAAUCACUGGGCGUAAAGCGCACGUAGGCGGAUCGCUAAGUCAGGGGUGAAAUCCUGGAGCUCAACUCCAGAACUGCCUUUGAUACUGGCAAUCUCGAGUCCGGGAGAGGUGAGUGGAACUGCGAGUGUAGAGGUGAAAUUCGUAGAUAUUCGGAGGAACACCAGUGGCGAAGGCGGCUCACUGGCUCGGUACUGACGCUGAGGUGCGAAAGCGUGGGGAGCAAACAGG
rnacentral:rRNA from 1 species